CUCAAAGAUUAAGCCAUGCAAGUGGUUAUUUUAACCCGACAGUUUAAAUAAGUGUUUAUAUAUCAAAUUAUUAUUACUACACACGCAUGAAAUAUUAAUCUAUUCACUUACGCAACUGCAGACAGCUGCUUAAUACAGUCACACUUGUCUUGACUUGGCUACGAUAGAACACGCAUUGCUACUUUUUUAAACACACUUCGCAAGAUUGUGGGCAUGCUGUUCUUAUUAUCAUCAUAUGAUACCGUGUGAUUUCCUUACUGGGUGCGCAGCCCGUUCUAUCGGCGCUCGCAUUAAAUCCACCAUUUUAACACUCAACUUACGGAUAACUCAGGGAAAGUUUGGCUAAUACGUACGAGCAAUUUUAUUUACUCACAUUUUCACACAUUACUCAGCACUCAAUGGUAAACUAGUGAGUUUACGCAUCCUGUCUUCGGACGAUGCUGUAAUUUACUCACCUAUCGUUUAACUGCAACAUGAGAGACAUUGAGCACGCAGCCUGUUCUGGUCACUCAUGUGACUGGCUGGCACUUUACGCUGAGCAGACUUUGCGAUAUUUCUAUUGCGAAGCGUGUCAUACAAGCAUCUACAGCAUCAAGUCACAGGGUUGGCAAGUGUAUUAUUGAACCUUCAAAGCAGUCACGCAUACGGAAGAGUAGUUUCUGAUCCCAUAGAAGGAGCACCGUACAAUGAGAGACCGCUCUUAGUUCUAAGGAACGCAGCAGGCGCGUAAAUUGCCCAAUGCUAGUACCCUACAAUUAUUAUUAUUGCAAUUUACUUUACACUACAACAACAAUGCGUCGUAGAUAUUAGUUUUUAAUAAACACUCUAUUUUAAUAACUGACAUUUUAUUAUCCUUGUCGCGCGCACGCUAGUGUGAAUUUCAAUUAAUUUUAUUGAUUCACUGAGGCAGUGACAAGCUGUAACGGUUGAGUAUAAAAAUGACGAGUGUCUGGCAUUGCCGCUUCUUCGGGAGCUUGGCAAUUCUGCCGACGCUUUGUGUGCUCAAUUGGAAUGCGGUGAGUUUAAGCAACUCAGAACCUGGAUGGUGACUUUCUUUACGAAUUCACUAUUCGUGUAUCUGAAUUUUCAAGKGAGGGNNNNNNNNNNNNNNNNNNNNNNNNNNNNNNNNNNNNNNNNNNNNNNNNNNNNNNNNNNNNNNNNNNNNNNNNNNNNNNNNNNNNNNNNNNNNAAAUUUAUGAAUCUCUCAGCAGAUUUAUUAUAUUUUAUUAUACACAAGCGCGCAUUACACGCCCGCUCAUAUAACUCAAUUAAUAACCAAUUAAACACACGCUUACCCAGUUGGCAGCGUAAAAAUUUACUUUUUUGCGCUAUUGUCAAUCAAUCUAUUGGUUAUAUCUGAGUAUGUGAACGCGCGCGCGCGCGCUUUUCGACACUCAAAUAAUAAUAUUAAUAUUAACUAAACUGCUGCGUAUUCUAUAUCUUUUAUUUCAACACUGUGAACAAAUCAGAGUGUAUCAAACAUGUCGUAUUAUUGUGCAUUGCAUGUCUUAUCAUGGGAUGUUGCCACACAAUAUUUUAAUAUCGGCCGCGUUUUAAUACACACUCAAAUUUUAUUUACAAUAGUUACGCGCAGGCUAAUUGAUAUUUUAAUUUUUUAUGUCGAUGGGGAUAGUUGGAGUCAACAGUACUGCUGGGCGAGAGGUGAAAUUCAUUGACCUAGCAAGACUACCAAAAGCGAAAGCAGUUGGCUAGGCUAUACUCUUUGUGAUUUUUUACGCUGUGAUGCUCAACACUCAAUGCAUAACACACAAUUUUACAUAAUUGAGUCGUUCGAAACGCGCUGCGUAAACUAACACUUUACAAUGAAGAACGAAGGUUGGGGGAUCAAAGAGGAUCAGAUACCCUCGUCGUCCCAUUUAUUACAUCAAACGAUGGGCUCUCAAUUGCAAUUGUUAACAAUUAGCAUAAUUAGUCCUCAACCUACUAAAUCUUAUAUUAUCUGGCUUGAGCUCGUAUUCCGAUACGCUCGCCUAACUAUAUUCAUAGAUUCUAUGUACGGUCUCACGAAGACUUAUGUUUCUGUACUAUCUAUUAAAAUAGCGUGUCUCGCAUUUUUAUGUAUACUACACUGCUACUCCAAUUCAUUUUUAUAAUGAUUGUUGAGUACGUUGGUAUAUUGCGACACUUGAUUUUCGGAGCUUUGCGCUCAAAUUCUGGUGAGAUGUAAGCAUCAUGUUAUGGUACCCGCAGCGUAUGUCUACGGGCAUUUCGUCUGUCGUGUGUAUCUAACACUUAUUUAUUAUUGAUGUGAAGCACGCUUUAGGCACGCGCUUACUGCAGAAAUGUCUGAGACAUUCCCCUCCGGGGGCAGUAUGCACGCAAGUGUGAAACUUGAAGGAAUUGACGGAAGGGCACCACAAGAACGCGUGGAGCAUGUGGCUUAAUUUGACUCAACGCGGGAAAUCUUACCGGGUCCGGACACACUGAGGAUUGACAGGCAAUAUUACAGAUUUGCGCUCUUUUGAGUCGUUCAAAUUUGUAUGUUAAAUAUGCUAGUCCUUUCAUGAUUAUGUGAUAGGUGGUGCAUGGCCGUUCUUAGUUCGUGGAGUGAUCUGUCUGCUUAAUUGCGUUUCACUAAGGGCCUAUAUUACUAAUGCAUGUUGCAAGCACAUUGACCCCUCAUGUUCACUUCAUCUUAAUUGAUGAAUACAUGUUGGCGCGUGUCUUUGGUUUCGCUUCGCUCAUGCCGUUAGGUCCUGAAAGCAACGAACGUGACCGCAUCCUCUUGUUGCCUUCAUUAGUUUUAAACAAACUAAAUACUUGCGUCUGUACUAAUUUCUGAUUAGCUAUUAGACCGGUAUUACGAAGGCUUUUUAAACUAGAGGGACCGCUGUUAUCUUCUUAAACCAGAGGAAGGUUGCGGCAAUAACAGGUCUGUGAUGCCCUUAGAUGUUCCGGGCUGCACACGUGCUACAAUGAUCAUUGCAGUGAGCAUCUCAUUUAUUUACACAUCGCAAGCGCGAGUCCAAUUAUUCUGUGUUGCAUCAUUUUAUUGAUGUAUACCAGCUUUAAUUGUGUAUCUCUGCGCGCGAUAAAGCCUGCUUUGAAAGUUUAGUGGGUAAUCAAUUAGAAGUAAUGAUUUCCAAGUUAUAGCACACUUAUCUACGGCAGUCCCACCCAGCUAGCCUUUUGCGCUAGACCUUGUGCGUGGGAUUGAGUGCUUUGUUCACUUACGAUUGUCUUUCAAUGCGUAAUUUUACCUACGGGUAGUUAUGUCAUUGUAUUGCUUCGUACUGUAGGUGCAAUUGUCAAUUCAUGGUGGGGACAGACCAUUGUUAAUUGUUGGUCUCGGUCUUAACUAGGAAUGCCUUGUACGGGUCUUUGGUUCAACAAACCACCCGGAAUACGUCCCUGCCCUUUGUACACACCGCCCGUCGCUCUUACCGAUGGACUUCUCUGUGAGUUUAAGGGACUGGGUCACUUUACAGACCUAUGGAAACUUAAACGAACAGUGUGGUCUAAAGGAAAGAGAAGUGUAACAAGGCA
rnacentral:rRNA from 1 species